UACGUAGGGGGCGAGCGUUGUCCGGAGUUACUGGGCGUAAAGAGCGUGUAGGCGGUUGGAAAAGUCAGGUGUGAAAUUCUUCGGCUCAACCGGGGGACUGCGCCUGAAACUUUCCGACUGGAGUUUGGGAGGGGCAACCGGAAUUCCUGGUGUAACGGUGAAAUGUGUAGAUAUCAGGAGGAACACCCGUGGCGAAGGCGGGUUGCUGGACCAAAACUGACGCUGAGACGCGAAAGCGUGGGUAGCAAACAGGAUUAGAUACCCCUGUAGUCCCUGAGCGGGCUGGCAAGG
rnacentral:rRNA from 1 species